UGCCGUCGUAGCUCAGCGGUAGAGCAACGCACUCGUAAUGCGUAGGUCGGAGGUUCGAUUCCUCUCGACGGCAUC
rnacentral:tRNA from 1 species